GACAGAGGUCCCAAGCGUUAGGCGGAAUCACUGGGCUUAAAGCGUGUGUAGGCGGACUUCUAAGUACCUUGUGAAAUCCCACGGCUCAACCGUGGAACUGCUUGGUAUACUGGUUGUCUUGGGCCAUCUAAGGGCUAGCGGAACAAACGGUGGAGCGGUGAAAUGCGUAGAUAUCGUUUGGAACGCCAAUGGUGAAAACAGCUAGCUGGGGAUGUGCCGACGCUGAGACACGAAAGCCAGGGGAGCGAACGGG
rnacentral:rRNA from 1 species